AUAUUUAAGUCCGUGGGGUAGGGUGGGAAUGGAACAAAGCAGUGUCAUUUAUGUUCCAAUACAGUUCUUUCGUGUUUUUCAUAUUUAUUAUAAUUAAUUUGAAGUUGAAUGUUAGUUUUUCGACCGUUUCGUAUUCAAACUAGAGUGUACUUAUAACUUGAGAUGCCCUUGCGUCUUUAAAAAAAAACAGAUGGUUAAACCGUGUGCGGUACCGCGGUGUAAAACCGGCACAACAAAACUGACGGAAAAGUGCUCGGUGUUUAAAGUGCCGUCAAACAUCGAACAGUAUAAAAAGUGGAAAGCUGUUAUCCCUGGAAUUGUUGAUCUCAAACAAACUCAAUAUGUUUGUGAAAAACAUUUCGAAGAAAAAUAUAUUCUGAGGAAAUGGAUAAAACAUGACUCGAAUGGCAAGAUCAUUGCUGAGGCUGAGUAUGCACGACCUCGGCUGGAUCCACUCGCUAUUCCAUCAAUAUUCAGCAGCACUACAUCAAAACAACCAAGCACCACUCAAAAUGCUACUGAAGAUUGUGCUUUGGAAGAACCCUCGACUGUACACGAUUUGCCUCAAAUUGAGCCUACUGGUACUUCAACAGUCUGUUUCACUGAUGUUGAAUUGUCCAGAGAUAACUUGAAAGACGUUUUAGCUCGAGGCAAAGAUGACACACAAGAGCCGCCAUCGGCAACUAUAGAUACACCAGGAACUACUGAAGAAUUCUCCGUGGAAAAAAUAUUGGAUAAAAGAACAAGAAAUGGGAAAAUAGAGUAUUUAUUGAAGUGGAAGGGUUACAACGAGGAGGACAACACAUGGGAGCCAGAGGAGAAUUUAGAUUGUCCAGAUUUAAUAGCAGCUUAUGAAGCACAAUUUGAAUUAACUUCUACAGCAGAAGACUCAGAUAAAUCGAAAAGGAAAAAUAUAACUGAAGAUAACAGAGCUAGAGGUUUUGAUAGAGGACUGGACCCGGCUAAAAUUGUUGGGGCAACAGAUGCAAGUGGUGAACUGAUGUUUUUAAUGAUGUGGAAAAACUGCAAAGAAGCUGAUUUAGUUCCAGCCAACCAAGUAAAUGCCAGGUGUCCAGAAGUUGUUAUCAAUUAUUACGAGAAUAAAAAACAGUGGUACAGCAAAAGUCCUGUUAUUGAAUUAGAUUAAGGUAAAAAUAAAGAACUAUUUCAAACUUACAUUUCAAUUAUUUCAAUUUAGUCUAAUAAUAAUCAUUCUUUUGUAUUUAAUAAUCAUUAAAUAUUUCUUAAUAGUUGCUAGAAACAGAAAAACAAGCAAAUAAUAGUGAACAUAUUUUUCUAAUUUAAAAUCUAUCUAAGAUCAGUAAGUAAUAAGAAAUUACUUACAAAAGUAUUAUUAUGGAUUAAACUUUGUUCUUACACCUAGGGUUACUACUUGAGAUAACUUCUUAAGGGAAUUAAAAAAGGUAUUCAGAGUAUUUUGAGAGUAGAAAUUGAGACAUCUGUUUGACCUACUCUUCAAGUAAGAUAAAAGCAUGUGUAAAGAAAACUGUAUACUUCCAUUUAUACUUAGAUGACUUCGUUUCCAUCGAGUAAAAGAGGGAGCGUUGUAGGCACCUAUAUACAAUUCAGAGAAUCCAGAACUUCUUUUAUGGACUUAAGAAACAUAAAACAAACUUUUAUAAUUUGACAUCAUGUAAAUGGUAACUAGAGAAUAAUUGUUUGUAUGUAUGCAAUGGAUAAUAUUUAUAAGUUGAUUUGAAUUGUUCUCCAAUAUUACGUUUAGUGGAAAGUAGAGCUAGAGUAAAAAAAUAUUAGAGAAAUGAAAUAUAACUGAGAUAGGUAUCAGGGACAUAGCCACAUCCGUUUCAAAGAUAUGGGCCUCCUAACUACAGGCAAGAGCGAUCCUGGCCCUAUCUUUGGGAGGGGACUUUUAGAUAUUUAAAAGUUAUUUGUUAGGAUCUGGCAUAUGAAAUACAAAUUGAUAGUAAUAUGAAAAGCAAGUCACAUGGUGAUGAUGUUCUGGUUAUCGAAGCUAUAAAAUGCAGAGACCACACACAUCAAGCUUUCUGCAAGUUGUUUAAAGCUUAAAAAAAGGUAUAACAUAUUUCCAAUGGUACUGCACGAUAAUAGUAAAUUGCAUAAAAAGGGUGAUAUCAUGAACUUAGCCAAAUACCGAUCCAUAAGUUUGCUCUCCAAUUUGUAUAAGCUCUUUAUACAUAUUAUCACGAUCCGGUUGAGAUAUAAAUGGGAUCUUUUUCAGCCCCAAGAACAGGCAGGGUAUGAUACAAAUGAUCAUUUGAAAGGUAUCAAAACACUCAUGAAGAAAAGUGUAGGAUAUAACAAAUCCCUGACUCUGGUGUCCAUAGACUCUGAAAAGGAGUUUAAUAUAGGAAAUCAACACAAAACUCGUGACAGCUUUGGCCGACUAUAUAAUAGAAUACAGGUAUAUAUCAAUUAUUAAUAGAAACAUGUAUAUGACAACCCAAAAAGUAUGUAUGAGACUUGACAACAACACCACUGUGUUAUAUCACCAAAACUGUUCCUAGAUAUGUUAUUUAUCCAAUGUUUACUUGCCUAUUUGACUAGUUUUGGUGUUUACCAAGUUUGACGCAAGUUGUGUUGUCUACGGCCACAAGUUGCUAACAAGUUUCAAGUUUCCUGACUGUAUCUACGCUUAGAGAACUUCCGAGAAGUUGUUUGAUUAUAUAAAAGAAUCUUUUGAUAGCUUCUGGUGUUUCAGUUUCCAUCGAAACAUUACCUUGACUACAUGCGGUUAAUUUAUGUUUAUUACAACUUUCAAGCAGAGUUUCAUUAACACAAAUUGAUAAGUGGCUAAUCAACACGUAAAUUGGCAUGUUGAAAACGGUCCGUUUUGUUUAGAGGUAGAUGUAUUGAUGGUUUUCUGAUAUUUGGCUUGCUAUUGUAUAGACUACCUUAAGAAGUGAAGGAUACUCAACUUUUCAAGGGUGGUCAAGUCGGUAUUUAGAGAGAUACUUGUUUUAAUGGUUGUACAGACUUGUUAAUGGAUGAUAAAAAUACCCCAUUAAGAAAAAUUAGUAGAAUAUUCUUUUAACAUCUUAUUCCACAUUUCACAUUGUCUCUUCAAUGCUGGACUUGGGUAUACUUGGGACUAAAAAGACCCCGAAUUUCCAUCAAUCACCAUCACAAGAACUUACCUCAUCUAUACCUUGGAGAGAAUUUUUAUGGAUUAGGUUAUAGUUGGAAUCCCAGCAUGUUACAGUAAUGUUUCCUCAAAAUGUUUUACUUGAUAUUUGGGCAGUUAAAAAGGAAAUGAAAUAAAACACAAAUUUGUCAAAUCGUUAACUCUUUUUAUUUACCCUAGUCUUUUAUUACACUAGUAGGAUAAUAUAAGUGAAAUGGAACAAUUCAAAUAACUUACAAAAUACGAAGCAAAUCUUUUGAAUUUUCAUAAAAUUUGUAAAUUGACUAGAGUUAGAGAAACAUAUUUAGGAAUGCAUUUCAACAUUAUAUACAACUUGUCAUAUCAACAAGGUAUCUUGCAACAUUACAUUAAACUUGAAUAAAAAAAUAAAUUGACAAAUAUUAUGAGCAAUGAAUGUAUUAGAUCUCAUAUUGGUCGCUGCAAAACAUUACCUUGCUCAAUUACAUCAGUAUCGGUCGUUAAUAUAAUUUUCGCAUGCAGUUAUUUAUUAGUAUCCAUUAAAAAUUUGAUCCAAAUAGUUAUAGAUAUCCAGAGAAUAUUAAUUUCAAUAUAGAAUCGAGAAUCAUUUAUUAUUUGUUGAUAUUACUGGAAAAAAAUAAUUUUACAAUGAUAUCUGAAAAUUAUAUUAACCGUAUGGUGAGAUUAGAGAAUUUUUGGAAUUAUUGGGGAUACUCAUAUCAAAAGCAAUGUUUACAAGCACAAAAUACCAUCCAAAUGUUUUCCAGUAUAUUAGUAGAGAUAUAUGAUGAAGAUAAUAUAAAAGUAAGAAUAGGUUCAAAUAUAUAGGUAGUGAUUAUUUUUCAAAUUUCUGUUUCGUUUCUUUUUACUUAGUUAUCGUUUUUCGUUUUAUCUCAUCUCUAUUCUUUUAAUUAAGUACCCCAGUGUAAUGUUCAUGCCAGUCGACGACAUCUCGCAAAGAAUAGAAAUAUUAAGAUUAAAAUAUACAAAAAUUCUAAAAUACGAACGGAAAAAGUGUAAAGAGGAAGAGAAGUUUAAUGAUGUAGAAAGUAAAAAACAGAUGAAAAUUAAAUAGAGAAGAUCGAAAAACUAUUUGAAGAGGAUUAAAAAAUAUGAAUACGAAAAAAAAAAUUAUAAAAAUAGCAUGUAGAGGGAUAGUAAAAGCAACCAAAAACUAUUAUAACAAGUGAUAAAAUAAAGUAAAAAAAUAAUGUAAUAAAUAUUGACAAAAAAUACUGGGCGGAAUAAAAAUUUCUAACAAUAUACAAAAGGAGAGAAAUUGACAUACGAAACUAAUGAUAUAGUAAUCAAAAUUUUCGAAAAUAUUGAUGAAAUAUAAUAUAAUACCUAGAAAGAGAGAAAAAAAUAAAUAGAACAUACUGUACUAGGUGGUACACUCACAAUUAAUUCGAUAUUCAGAAACCAAAGACAAACAGUUUAAUUUCUCUGAAGACGAUAAUUUAUUUAUCGAAACGCGCAUAACACAUAAUUGUGAGUGUUAUAAACAGUAUGUUAUGACUAUAUAGAGCAAUAAUAUUUAAAUUACUUUGUAGUUCAUUCACUAUAUUGCAACAAUAGUUCAAAAUAGGGAUGGUACGCUAAAUUCCAACUCGGGAAUAAAUAACUGCAAGGAAAAAAAUCAUUUUGUAAUGUUGAUAUUAAUUUGUUGUAGGCAGUAUUUCGCCCGAAUUGUUAUCAAUACUUAAAGCGAGUCAUUUUUUAUUAUCUAGCACAAAUGAAAUAGUUCUAUUGCACUAAUGAUAAAUUAAUAAAAUAAUAUUGCUUAAAUAUGAACUUGCACCUUGUUAUACAGAUAAGAAAUAUACAUUUUAGCUAUAAGGAGCGUGAUUCUUUACAAAUAAUUUACCAUUUUUACACAAUAUACAUAAAUGCUGAAUAUCUUCAGUGCUUUCUUCAAAAAUUGUAAACAAAAACGAAAUAUUGUAACAUACCAUUCAGCUUGCUACGUUUUUCUCAAACAUUUUCAAUAUACCUUUGAUCAAGUAAUGUGGCUGAGUAGUCACUUCUGAUUUAUUUAUUCUAACAUUCGAGAUAAGAAAUUAAUUUGUUAUAGACCUACCAGUCCAUUCGAAGAAUUUAACAAAACUCCAGUUUCGUUGCUAAAUCGUACUCUAUCACUCUAAAACUAAAUUCAGUAAAAUUUGUGGUGAUCUUCUUCAUAUUCACUGUGUGUAGAAAGAUAGAGGACGAUUUAGCAACGAAACUGGAGUUUUAUUGAAUUCUUCGCAUGGAGUGGGAGGUCGAUAACAAAUUAAUUUCUUCGAAAACUUGAUUGUUAGAAUAAAUAAAUUAGAAGUGACUACUGUGCCACAAUACGUGAGAAAGGAAUAUUCAAAAUGGAAAUUGUAACAAACCGAAUGGCAUGUUACAAUAUAUAAAUGAUUGAGAAAUCGCCUUGUGAAAGUACCUUUAACGAUAUAUCAACAAUUUGACCUAAAAAUAAAGGUUAACAUAUAAAUGGUACCACCAUUACCAUAGAUUAAAGACUCCUUUGAUAAGCACCGCCUAUGUAUCAUUUUGUAUUGCUUGUAUGGGAACGAGAACUUUGUACAAAUACCGCCUAUGCUGAAUGAACAUAUUUAAUUGUUUCUCAAUUUUCUCUAACUCGCUAUUCGAUGUACAAAAAGUUGACAAGACAUUAGGUAUUUUUAAUGUGUACACAACCGACCAUAUACCUUUUUAAGAAGAAUCGGUAAAUGAAGACCAUCGUGCAAGGCUGAAUUCAGGGAGCGGGCAAAAUGACACAUAAAUAACAUAAAUUUUCCGACUUUCUUUUUAUGUUUCUUAAUUCAUUUACCAAUUGAUUAAUUAUGUGGCAUAUCAUAUUUUAUGGUAAAAACAAUAUUAGAAACUAUAAGAAGCGUAAUUUUGAUGUUAAUGAUUUUUGCCUUGCAGCCGUCGACCCGCUGAGGUUCUAUAGUUUCUUUCAGAAAUGUAUAGAGCAAUAAAAACUCAUUAGGUAUGCAAAGGGACCACAGAGUGACCCAACGAAUAUUUAAUAGUUUGGCAUUGAUUUCAUUGUACAAAAUUUGUUUUAUCAAGUGCAGGUAGUACCACCCGGGUUAUUGCUAUCCAUUCACAAACACUGAAAAUAGUGUGCCAAAGGCGUGCCGGUAGGAUACUCGUAAAAAGGAAAUAAUCUUAUUUCAACAGAAUAAAAAUUAGGCAUUAUGUACAUAGUAUUAGGUACACUUAUUAAACAUACAAAAAUACAUUACACAGAAAUUAAAUUAUAAAAAAUCAUAAUAUUUUUCGUCAUCUGAGGAACUGUCAUCUCCUCUUGACGUUAUAAUUAACGGGUCGACGGUCCAAUCGAUCAAGUAGUCAAGAUCCCACAUUUUCUCCUUUUCUUUAAUGACAUGACUGGACUGGUUUUCGCCAGUUCUCUGGUGUCACCUCCUUAAUGGCUUGGUAAAACAGUAACUUAACGUCUUUCAUUUUGAAUGUCGUGUUGUGUCUUGCUACAAAUCCUCUCACUUGCGCCCAUAUAAGUUCAAUAGGAUUUAGUUCGCAAUGAUGUGGCGGUGUGCGCAGCACAGUUACACUAUGUUUUUCUGCUAUAUCUUCCACGGCGUAUUUCAUAAAACGAUGUUUGUGUUAAUUUGCUAUAGCUAAUAGUUCUUUUUUUAUCAAAUUUCUUGUUUUCUCCAAGAUGAAGUUGGAGUCUUCUCUAUGCGUCAAGAAUGAUAACUUGCGUUAUCCAUAACUACUAUUGAAUCAGCAGGAAGAUAUUUUAUCAUUUCACCAAAAUAGUCUUCAAAAACAUCCGAAUCAAUGUCCUCGUGGUAAUCUCCCGUAUGGCGCUACUGAAAGGUUAGCAAACCUUCUUUUAAAAAUCCCUCUUCGCUUCCAAAAUGGACGAUUAUUAGUCUUUUCCCUUCACCUAUAGGCACCGUAAUACCCGUUGACAGGCCUUGCAUGAAAGCUUGGGGAGUACUGGUUAUAUUUUUGUUUUGCCACAUUUUUGGUACUGUAUAACCUUCAUUAAUCCACGUCUCAUCAAGAUAAAAGAUUUUCUUCUGCUCUGUUCUGUACUGCUUUAUACUUCUUGAGUAUUUUCGUCGCCAGCAAACAAAUUCAUCGCUUUCCAGUAAAAGUGCUUUACGGUUAUGCUUUUCCCAGGCAAAAUCCAUAUUUCUCAAAGUGGUUCAUAAAAAUUUUUUAGUUAUCAACGGAAUACUGUCAUCCAGGCCAAGCUCCAUUAAAAUUUUAUCUAGGGUGGGUAUUUCUUUUUUAAAAUGAAGAGAGUGAACUUUUCUUCGAAUUACACUUUUGUUGUCUUCUUCAAAGACUUUUACUUGUCUGCCUGGACUUUUCUUGGGAGGUUCCACUUGGCCUGCUAUCUUUCUCCCCCGCAAUAAUUUAAAAACGGUGGACUUUCCAACUCCAGUCAUUCGGGAACAUCGGUCAACAGUUUCAUGUACAGUAAAUUUCGGGUAAUCGUAUUUUAUGCAAUCGUGUACAUUUAAAAUAAUAAGUUUUUCAUUCACUGAUAGUGGUGAAUUAUUGGAACAUCUUUUCGUUGGUGUAAAUGUCGCCAUUUUAUUACCAAUCUUAUAAUACUGUGAACACUAUUAUACGGCUUAACAGCAAAUAUUGAUGCGUUAAACUAAACAAAUAUACUUAUAAAGGUCUAAAAAUUUUGGGUAAGGCACCAUUGCCCUUACGGCGCAUGGUUAAGCCGAAUCUGAAAUAGGGUUGGAAUUAGGCAGAGGCACUAAUAGAAGGUUAACUGGUACCUGUUAAACGCAAAACGUAACUGUAUAAUCUACUACCUAAGUAACCCUACAGAAUAUUUCAAGACCUUCACCGAAAUUGAGCCGAACUGGACGGAAUUCCUCAUUUUAUUGCUCUAUACAUUUCUGAAAUAGACUAUAAGUACACGUUGUCGUGGGGAGCAGCAAAUUGUGGACAACCCUGAGGCGGCAAAUCUUCAAAUCCGCCUCUGCCCUGGUGUCACGACGUUCUGAGAGAUCUUUUUAUCAUUUUUUGAGUUAAGAAGUUUAGGUUUGAUUGUUUUAAUUUUCAUUACAGUGACGGGUGUCUUUAAAGUGUAACUUUCAAAUAAAUGAUUAAAUAUAUUUUCCCCCUAAGAAA